AACCUUAUGGACCUGCGGGCGUAUACCUGCGGAAGGAUCAUUACCUUUUGCUUAUAACACUCCCUAGGCAUGGCCUUGGGGUUUGUUGUGGCAAUAAACCCUUGUUUACUCCUACCUUUGUUUAUCCUUUGGCAGGCUUAGGUCUGCCAUUGGACCUACACAAACCUCUCUAUAGCAGCCUAUCUGAGUAUUAUGGUAAUUAUUAUAACUUUUAGCAACGGAUCUCAGAUCGGAAGAGCA
rnacentral:misc_RNA from 1 species